rnacentral:rRNA from 1 species
UACGUAGGGUCCGAGCGUUGUCCGGAAUUAUUGGGCGUAAAGGGCUCGUAGGCGGUCUGUUGCGUCGGGAGUGAAACUUACAGCUUAACUGUGAGCGUGCUUUCGAUACGGGCAGACUUGAGGCAUUCAGGGGAGAACGGAAUUCCUGGUGUAGCGGUGAAAUGCGCAGAUAUCAGGAGGAACACCGGUGGCGAAGGCGGUUCUCUGGGAAUGUCCUGACGCUGGAGGCACGAAAGCCCAGGGAGCGAACGGGA